UUAACUCAAAUAACAAACUCCAUGGUCUUAUCUCCUCCUUCAAAAUUUCAACCUUUCUUCCUUUGUUUAUACUAUUUUCAGCCGCAUUAUUCUGAAACUGGGAUGGUUCUACUUUUUGGUGUUUAAAGAGAGUUUUAGGUCCCUGACUCAGAUUACACGUCCAAGUAUGGAAUUGAGGGAGAUAAGGGAUGCAUGGACCCACCAUUCUUUGAAUUGUAAUCUUCCUUUCAGACGGAGCAGUGAAGAGCUGAUUUGCCAAGGUUGGGUUACUGUGAACGGGUCUGUUUGCAAGACUCCACAGGUCAAGUUCAGAAAUACAUAUUGCAAAAGUUGAUGGGUUUUGAAUACAGUGCAUAUUUUUUUUUUCUUUGGAUAGAUUGUUGACAACUUGACUAUAUUUCCCUUUUUGGCAAAUCAUGUUCUUAAGCCCAAGGCUAGUUUAGUCACAUGUGUUUUGCAUGUGUAACUUUUGAUUAUUUACAAUUAGAUGAUUUCAUCU